GACGAACGCUGGCGGCGUGCUUAACACAUGCAAGUCGAACGCUGAAGGCCCAGCUUGCUGGGUUGGAUGAGUGGCGAACGGGUGAGUAACACGUGAGUAACCUGCCCUCUUCUUUGGGAUAACGGUCGGAAACGGCUGCUAAUACCGGGUAUUCACUGUCCUUCGCAUGGGGGGUGGUGGAAAGGUUUUUUCUGGUGGGGGAUGGGCUCGCGGCCUAUCAGCUUGUUGGUGGGGUGAUGGCUUACCAAGGCUUUGACGGGUAACCGGCCUGAGAGGGUGACCGGUCACAUUGGGACUGAGACACGGCCCAGACUCCUACGGGAGGCAGCAGUGGGGAAUCUUGCACAAUGGGCGAAAGCCUGAUGCAGCGACGCCGCGUGCGGGAUGAAGGCCUUCGGGUUGUAAACCGCCUUCAGCAGGGACGAGGCGAAAGUGACGGUACCUGCAGAAGAAGCCCCGGCUAACUACGUGCCAGCAGCCGCGGUAAUACGUAGGGGGCAAGCGUUAUCCGGAUUCAUUGGGCGUAAAGCGCUCGUAGGCGGUCUGUUAGGUCGGGAGUUAAAUCCGGGGGCUCAACCCCCGUUCGCUCCCGAUACCGGCAGACUUGAGUUUGGUAGGGGAAGGUGGAAUUCCUAGUGUAGCGGUGGAAUGCGCAGAUAUUAGGAAGAACACCAGUGGCGAAGGCGGCCUUCUGGGCCAUAACUGACGCUGAGGAGCGAAAGCUAGGGGAGCAAACAGG
rnacentral:rRNA from 1 species